CGUAGCACCUUAUUCCGUCAUAUUGUCUCUGGAUUAAAUGUAUUCCUAAUGUCACUUUUAUAAAGAAAUAAUAGUUAAAACUACAAUAUUAUUGUAAAUUUGCAAUAAUUGCAAAUUCCAAUUAUUGGAAGCUGCAAAAGGGACAUUAGAAUGUCAGCAAGAUCGGAACAAUUUUCGAUUUAAGUGGAAUUUACGGAAGGUGCAAAGAUUUGACCUCACAACUAAUCCGUAAAAUGAAGAAGCAACAUAUUUUGUUACCGCUUAGAAGAAACAAUAGAAAUAGUACUGUGGAUUGAUAAAUAAAGAGUGAAAAUAAGGUUGACUAGAAGUUGAUAAAGAAUAGAAGGAUAGUCCAAGGAAUUAAAAAACAAUAGAAAAAAAACGUAGACUAGUGUGAGCACUGAAAUUAGAGUUUGAUUUAAGCUUUAAUUAGGUUUGGUGUUUGUGCUUGAACAUUUUUAAUGUCAAUUUG